rnacentral:rRNA from 1 species
CAUGCUCGUGAGGGAAACAGCCCAGAUCGUCAGCUAAGGUCCCUAAGUGUAAACUAAGUGUGUAAGGAUGUGGAACUGCACAGACAGCUAGGAUGUUGGCUUAGAAGCAGCCAUCAUUUAAAGAGUGCGUAACAGCUCACUAGUCGAGUGAUUCUGCGCCGAAAAUGUACCGGGGCUUAAGUUUACCACCGAAGCUACGGAUUGUAUGUAAAUACAGUGGUAGGGGAGCGUUCUAAAUAUGAUGAAGUCAGACUGUGAAGACUGGUGGAGUGUUUAGAAGUGAUUAUGCCGGCAUGAGUAACGUUUGGAAGUGAGAAUCUUCCAUGCCGUUUGACCAAGGUUUCCUGGGCAAGGUUCGUCCACCCAGGGUUAGUCAGGACCUAAGGCGAGGCUGAAAAGCGUAGUCGAUGGACAACAGGUUGAUAUUCCUGUACCAGUUAAUUAGUGAUGGAGUGACGAAGAAGGAUAGUAUAUCCCGGGUGCUGGAUGUCCCGGGCUAAGCACAAAGAUGGCAAUGUUGGCAAAUCCGCAUUGUAUUAACAUUGAAGUGUGAAAAUAGGGGAGUGAACGGUUCGCCUAGUAACGAAGUAUAUGACUCCAUGCUUCCAAGAAAAGCUUCUAACUUAAUAAUUAACUGCCUGUACCUAGAACGAACACACGUGGUCAAGGAGAAAAUCCUAAGGCAAGCGAGAUAACUGUAGCUAAGGAACUCUGCAAAAUAACUCCGUAACUUCGGAAGAAGGAGUGCUUAUCUAUGAUAAGCCGCAGUGAAGAGGGAGGGGCAACUGUUUAACAAAAACACAGCUCUCUGCUAAGUCGCAAGACGAUGUAUAGGGGGUGACACCUGCCCAGUGCCGGAAGGUUAAAAGGAGAAGUCAGCGCAAGCGAAGCUUUGAAUUGAAGCCCCGGUGAACGGCGGCCGUAACUAUAACGGUCCUAAGGUAGCGAAAUUCCUUGUCAGGUAAAUUCUGACCCGCACGAAAGGUGUAAUGAUCCCUUCGCUGUCUCGGCUGCAGACUCGGUGAAAUUUUAGUACCGGUGAAGAUGCCGGUUACCCGCAACUAGACGGAAAGACCCCGUGGAGCUUUACUAUAACUUGAUAUUGAAAUUUGGUAUGACGUGUAGAGGAUAGGUGGGAGACUAUGAGACUAGGACGCUAGUUCUAGUGGAGUCAACCUUGGAAUACCACCCUCGUUAUAUUGGAUUUCUAACUU